rnacentral:rRNA from 1 species
UGGGGGAUAUUGCACAAUGGAGGAAACUCUGAUGCAGCAACGCCGCGUGAGGGAAGACGGUUUUCGGAUUGUAAACCUCUGUCCUCGGUGACGAUAAUGACGGUAGCCGAGGAGGAAGCUCCGGCUAACUACGUGCCAGCAGCCGCGGUAAUACGUAGGGAGCAAGCGUUGUCCGGAUUUACUGGGUGUAAAGGGUGCGUAGGCGGCUCUGCAAGUCAGGUGUGAAAACUAUGGGCUUAACCCAUAGCAUGCACUUGAAACUGUGGAGCUUGAGUGAAGUAGAGGCAGGCGGAAUUCCCGGUGUAGCGGUGAAAUGCGUAGAGAUCGGGAGGAACACCAGUGGCGAAGGCGGCCUGCUGGGCUUUAACUGGCGCUGAAGCACGAAAGCAUGGGUAGCAAACAGG